rnacentral:lncRNA from 1 species
AAGGGAAAAUAAUGGAAUAGAUAGAGUGAUUGGUGAGGAUUGGGGCCCUAAUGUCUACGUAUACUUAUAGUGAAAUAAGGAAUUCAGAGCUUUGUAGUUCAUAGAACUAAUGGUGAGAGAUGAAUUUUUUUUUAUAAAGGUAUGGUUUGAACCAAAGGAUUGUGUUGUUUGAACCCAUAUGGUAGGUAUAUCUGAACUAAUGAGAAAAGUG